CCGAGUCGUCGUUGACGGAUGCUGCAAAAACGGCGCGCUUGGCCUCUAGAUCGCUGAAAAAAUUGGAAGAUGAAGCAAAUAUAAACUUGGAAGGCAAUUUAUAUGGUGCUGGCAUUGUUGACUAAUGGAUCAAAACUCUUCAAGAUAUUUUACAAGCCCUGGAGCAACUUUUUAAAAACACGUUUUUUUGACAACGGCCGUGUGCUGCCAUUUUGUUUUUUUUUUAUUAAAAAAUAAAAAUGUGUACCUUAAUACAUAUA